rnacentral:rRNA from 1 species
GAUGAACGCUGGCGGCGUGCCUAAUACAUGCAAGUCGAGCGAACGGACGAGAAGCUUGCUUCUCUGAUGUUAGCGGCGGACGGGUGAGUAACACGUGGAUAACCUACCUAUAAGACUGGGAUAACUUCGGGAAACCGGAGCUAAUACCGGAUAAUAUUUUGAACCGCAUGGUUCAAAAGUGAAAGACGGUCUUGCUGUCACUUAUAGAUGGAUCCGCGCUGCAUUAGCUAGUUGGCAAGGUAACGGCUUACCAAGGCAACGAUGCAUAGCCGACCUGAGAGGGUGAUCGGCCACACUGAAACUGAGACACGGUCCAGACUCCUACGGGAGGCAGCAGUAGGGAAUCUUCCGCAAUGGGCGAAAGCCUGACGGAGCAACGCCGCGUGAGUGAUGAAGGUCUUCGGAUCGUAAAACUCUGUUAUUAGGGAAGAACAUAUGUGUAAGUAACUGUGCACAUCUUGACGGUACCUAAUCAGAAAGCCACGGCUAACUACGUG